rnacentral:rRNA from 1 species
GACCUCGGAUCAGGUAGGGAUACCCGCUGAACUUAAGCAUAUCAAUAAGCGGAGGAAAAGAAACCAACAGGGAUUGCCCUAGUAACGGCGAGUGAAGCGGCAACAGCUCAAAUUUGAAAUCUGGCUCUUUUAGGGUCCGAGUUGUAAUUUGCAGAGGGCGCUUUGGCGUUGGCAGCGGUCCAAGUUCUUUGGAACAGGACGUCACAGAGGGUGAGAAUCCCGUACGUGGUCGCUAUCCUUCGCCGUGUAAAGCCCCUUCGACGAGUCGAGUUGUUUGGGAAUGCAGCUCUAAAUGGGAGGUAAAUUUCUUCUAAAGCUAAAUACUGGCCAGAGACCGAUAGCGCACAAGUAGAGUGAUCGAAAGAUGAAAAGCACUUUGGAAAGAGAGUCAAAUAGCACGUGAAAUUGUUGAAAGGGAAGCGCUUGCAGCCAG